AACGAACGCUGGCGGCAGGCUUAACACAUGCAAGUCGAACGCCCCGCAAGGGGAGUGGCAGACGGGUGAGUAACGCGUGGGAAUCUACCUAGUUCUACGGAACAACUGAGGGAAACUUCAGCUAAUACCGUAUACGCCCUAUGGGGGAAAGAUUUAUCGGAAUUAGAUGAGCCCGCGUAAGAUUAGCUAGUUGGUGAGGUAAUGGCUCACCAAGGCGACGAUCUUUAGCUGGUCUGAGAGGAUGAUCAGCCACACUGGGACUGAGACACGGCCCAGACUCCUACGGGAGGCAGCAGUGGGGGAUAUUGGACAAUGGGCGCAAGCCUGAUCCAGCCAUGCCGCGUGAGUGAUGAAGGCCUUAGGGUUGUAAAGCUCUUUCAGUAGGGAAGAUAAUGACGGUACCUACAGAAGAAGCCCCGGCUAACUUCGUGCCAGCCGCCGCCGUAACAC
rnacentral:rRNA from 1 species